rnacentral:rRNA from 1 species
UACGGGGGGAGCAAGCGUUGUUCGGAUUUACUGGGCGUAAAGGGCGCGUAGGCGGCCACCGCAAGUCAGUUGUGAAAUCUCUGGGCUUAACCCAGAAAGGUCAACUGAUACUGCGGGGCUAGAGUGCAGAAGGGGCAACUGGAAUUCUCGGUGUAGCGGUGAAAUGCGUAGAUAUCGUAAGGAAGACCAGUGGCGAAGGCGGGUCUCUGGACAGUUCCUGACGCUGAGGCACGAAGGCCAGGGGAGCAAACGGG